rnacentral:misc_RNA from 1 species
AAGUCGUAACAAGGUUUCCGUAGGUGAACCUGCGGAAGGAUCAUUAACACGUAUCCAAACGUUAAAACCCCCCCCGUGAACCUUCAUCCUGCUCUUGUAACCCGCGUAGUUCGCAAUCUCUGAUAAAUCAUAGCCCGGAAAGUUGUAGUGAUUCAGAGACCUCUGGCUACGUGCGAACAUUGGAACAGUUACAAUCGAGCGGUAGUUCUAUAGGCAAUGUUUCCCCAAGCACACUCGGGCAGGAGCUUUGCCAAAGGGUCCCCAUGCCCCCUAAUAACCCCACAGUUUAAUGUGAAGCUCAAUGUAAUACAUUGGGUAAAAAAACCGAACAACUGUUAACAAUGGAUAUCUUGGUUCUC